rnacentral:tRNA from 2 species
GGGCCUGUGGCGCAGUCGGUAGCGCACCUGCUCGGCAGGCAGGAGGUGCCCGGUUCGAAUCCGGGUAGGUCCA